UAGGGAAUCUUCCACAAUGGACGCAAGUCUGAUGGAGCAACGCCGCGUGAGUGAAGAAGGUUUUCGGACCGUAAAGCUCUGUUGUUGGUGAAGAAGGAUAGAGGUAGUAACUGGCCUUUAUUUGACGGUAAUCAACCAGAAAGUCACGGCUAACUACGUGCCAGCAGCCGCGGUAAUACGUAGGUGGCAAGCGUUGUCCGGAUUUAUUGGGCGUAAAGCGAGCGCAGGCGGAAGAAUAAGUCUGAUGUGAAAGCCCUCGGCUUAACCGAGGAAUUGCAUCGGAAACUGUUUUUCUUGAGUGCAGAAGAGGAGAGUAGAACUCCA
rnacentral:rRNA from 1 species